rnacentral:rRNA from 1 species
UACGUAGGGGGCAAGCGUUAUCCGGAUUUACUGGGUGUAAAGGGAGCGCAGGCGGCAGCCCAAGUCUGAUGUGAAAGCCCGGGGCCCAACCCCGGGACUGCAUUGGAAACUGGGCAGCUUGAGUGCCGGAGGGGUAAGCGGAAUUCCUAGUGUAGCGGUGAAAUGCGUAGAUAUUAGGAGGAACACCAGUGGCGAAGGCGGCUUACUGGACGGCAACUGACGCUGAGGCUCGAAAGCGUGGGGAGCAA